GACGAACGCUGGCGGCGUGCUUAACACAUGCAAGUCGAACGGAAAGGCCCUGCUUUUGUGGGGUGCUCGAGUGGCGAACAGGUGAGUAACACGUGAGUAACCUGCCCUUGACUUUGGGAUAACUUCAGGAAACUGGGGCUAAUACCGGAUAGGAGCUCCUGCUGCAUGGUGGGGGUUGGAAAGUUUCGGCGGUUGGGGAUGGACUCGCGGCUUAUCAGCUUGUUGGUGGGGUAGUGGCUUACCAAGGCUUUGACGGGUAGCCGGCCUGAGAGGGUGACCGGCCACAUUGGGACUGAGAUACGGCCCCGACUCCUACGGGAGGCAGCAGUGGGGAAUAUUGCACAAUGGGCGGAAGCCUGAUGCAGCAACGCCGCGUGCGGGAUGACGGCCUUCGGGUUGUAAACCGCUUUCGCCUGUGACGAAGCGUGAGUGACGGUAAUGGGUAAAGAAGCACCGGCUAACUACGUG
rnacentral:rRNA from 1 species